CCCAAUUCGCGCCCCCCACCUCGGCGCCUCCUCCGUGUCGCCACCGUCUCCGCCGGCCGCCACCAUCUCUUUCCGCUCCUUUUCUGUUUUACUUUAUGGUCGGAUUGGAUGGAUUGUGAGGGUUUGCAUCUCAUUGAAAACCCUGGAUUCUGUAGCGAUCAUCUCCUGAUGGUAUAUACUGCAGCCGACACCUUCUACGUCACCGAUGAGCGGUCGAAGAAUCCCCCGUCGAGCAAAGAUGGGAUCGAUGAGGAGACGGAGACCAUGCCGCGGGUGGCACCUCAUCCGAGAGAGCGGCGUUCUUCUUAGACGGUGUCCUUUUCCCCGUACUUGUGAAUAUUUUCUUGCUUGUUGAUCAAUUAGAAGUGAUUUCAAAGAAUUAUCUGUGGCACGGUAUGCAUCAGCUUUACAACUGUGGGUCUCCAAGUUUUUUUUCUUUUGUGAGUUCCUUAACUAUUAAGACCACAGGGCAGGUCCUUCUCCAUUGGUUCUACUGCAAGAAGUCCUUUGCCCGCUUUAGCGUGAAGCUGUGUGUGGUUAGCUUCGAAGUCGGAGGAAUGCCCAAAAAAAGCAAAGCAUCUAAUGAUUGUCUUCCACAGAAUGGAAUGAAUGUAGAAGGAGAAAACCUGCCAAUAGAGCUAUUGGAUGUCUUUUCCAAGAUGCAUUUGAUUGGCACAGAAAUAUACAGAGCUGAUGAACGAUUUGGUUGGGACUGAGCAACAUUUGCUGAAAGAAAUGGACUUUAUUUGCCAUGUUGAACAUCCUCAUAAGUUUAUAUCCAACUAGCUUGCAACACUUGAAGUAUCUCCUCAGCUGAGGCAGGAAGCCUGGAAUCUAGCAAAUGAUAGGUGAUUUCUUGUUUUAUUUUUGAUUUAUAAGAGCAUUGCUGUUCCCGAUGGUUAAUUGUCAUGGUAACUUUAUCCUUAUACUAUUUCUUCAUAUAUUUUUCAUGUUCUAGAGAUUCUUUGAAUGAUUCAGUUUAUUUGUUAAUACUUGGCUUUUCAUUAUUCCAGCUUAUUAUUUCUUCCUUGUUAUAUAUUUCUUGCCCAUAAACUGAUUUAUUAUAGAGCAUAAAGCUGCUUAUACUGAUCCCCCAUAGGACCUACAUUCAUUGGUGGGAGAACUGGUGCAAUGGAUUUGCCCUUUUUAUUCACAUAUAUUACCCAAAUACGGUGGGCAGAACUUAAAGAGUUGCAGUGUCGACCAUGAAUUCACUUGAACUAUAUCCUGCAUCCAUUUGAUCAUGAAAGUCCUCUCUUCUUAUAGGAUAGAUACUCGCGGCAUCAUUCAUCACGAGGCAUGUUGGCAUUCUUUUUAGCCUUAUCAUUUUUAUUUUUCUGGGAACCAAAGAGUUUUUUCAUUGAGACUUUAUGUAAACCUUUUCUGAAAAUUGCAGUGAAUAUCAUAGCUCACACACAUCUUGUGGACGAGAUCGACAUGAGAAAGAUCGGCAUAGACAUCAUCCAUAUGAUUGAAUGAGCAUUGAUCAUUGUGGAACAAUUGAUACUUGUGACAAUUGCGCACUCGCUUGUUGUCAGGGGAUUUUCUGUUUCAGUUGCUGCUUAUGUUGAUUGAGAAGGUUGUAGCAGUAAUUCAAAGCGUGAUAGUGAAACUCCGACUCUUAUUACCAUCUGUCGGGCAUCUUCUUGUGUGACCAUCACAUUCUAAUCGCUGGACUAAGGACUGUCUAGCUACCAAGCGAUUACUGUGCCGAUGUGUA